rnacentral:piRNA from 1 species
UUUGUCCUCAAUCAUCAUAAU